ACUCCUACGGGAGGCAGCAGUAGGGAAUAUUGGACAAUGGGCGCAAGCCUGAUCCAGCCAUGCCGCGUGAGUGAAGAAGGCCCUCGGGUUGUAAAGCUCUUUUGUUGGGGAAGAAAAGCCUUGGGUUAAUACCCCGGGGUCCUGACGGUACCCAAAGAAUAAGCACCGGCUAACUUCGUGCCAGCAGCCGCGGUAAUACGAAGGGUGCAAGCGUUACUCGGAAUUACUGGGCGUAAAGCGUGCGUAGGUGGUUCGUUAAGUCUGAUGUGAAAGCCCUGGGCUCAACCUGGGAAUUGCAUUGGAUACUGGCGGGCUAGAGUGCGGUAGAGGGUAGUGGAAUUCCCGGUGUAGCAGUGAAAUGCGUAGAGAUCGGGAGGAACAUCUGUGGCGAAGGCGACUGCCUGGACCAGCACUGACACUGAGGCACGAAAGCGUGGGGAGCAAACAGGAUUAGAUACCCUGGUAGCGAGUAG
rnacentral:rRNA from 1 species